rnacentral:other from 1 species
CACAAAAGGAGGGAGUGGAGGAGAGGCUCAACUUCCUCCACCUUCCUAAGCGGUGGGAAAGACUGGGGAGCUUGUAGGCAAGAUUGGGGGCGCCCAUUGCCUGUCCCCACCUAUCCACUCUGUGUCUCAUUCUCUCUUGGUCUGUCUGUUGGUUGUAGUGUUGGAGGUUGGCGCGACUCUGUGCACCCCACGGGAAGGAAGCACUCCCCCACAGUAAAAAGAGAAGAGAGAAAAGUGGUCAGUCGGUAGCCGGGGAGGAGAACAGAUGCCCAGCUGCACCGCGUCCACCAUG